rnacentral:siRNA from 1 species
GACGUGCAAUGGGGUGGUGAGG